rnacentral:rRNA from 1 species
GACGAACGCUGGCGGCGUGCCUAAUACAUGCAAGUUGAGCGCUGAAGGUUGGUACUUGUACCGACUGGAUGAGCAGCGAACGGGUGAGUAACGCGUGGGGAAUCUGCCUUUGAGCGGGGGACAACAUUUGGAAACGAAUGCUAAUACCGCAUAAAAACUUUAAACACAAGUUUUAAGUUUGAAAGAUGCAAUUGCAUCACUCAAAGAUGAUCCCGCGUUGUAUUAGCUAGUUGGUGAGGUAAAGGCUCACCAAGGCGAUGAUACAUAGCCGACCUGAGAGGGUGAUCGGCCACAUUGGGACUGAGACACGGCCCAAACUCCUACGGGAGGCAGCAGUAGGGAAUCUUCGGCAAUGGACGAAAGUCUGACCGAGCAACGCCGCGUGAGUGAAGAAGGUUUUCGGAUCGUAAAACUCUGUUGGUAGAGAAGAACGUUGGUGAGAGUGGAAAGCGCAUCAAGUGACGGUAACUACCCAGAAAGGGACGGCUAACUACGU